GACGAACGCUGGCGGCGCGCUUAACACAUGCAAGUCGAACGGAAAGGCCUGCUUUCCCUUGUGGAUUGCGGGUACUCGAGUGGCGAACGGGUGAGUAGCACGUGAGUGAUCUGCCCCCAACUUGGGUAUAAGCCUGGGAAACUGGGUCUAAUUCCCGAUAGGACUGCAGGGUGGUGCCUGUGGUGGAAAACGAUUUUCUAGUGGUUGGGGAUGAGCUCGCGGCCUAUCAGCUUGUUGGUGGGGUGAUGGCCUACCAAGGCGGCGACGGGUAGCCGGCCUGAGAGGGUGGACGGCCACAUUGGGACUGGGAUACGGCCCAGACUCCUACGGGAGGCAGCAGUGGGGAAUAUUGCACAAUGGGCGGAAGCCUGAUGCAGCGACGCCGCGUGGGGGAUGACGGCCUUCGGGUUGUAAACUCCUUUCGACCGCGAGGAAGCCACCUGGCUGGAAGGGUGGUGACGGUAGUGGUAGAAGAAGCACCGGCUAACUACGUG
rnacentral:rRNA from 1 species